UACGAGGGGGGCGAGCGUUGUUCGGAAUUAUUGGGCGUAAAGGGUGCGUAGGCGGUUUGGUAAGUCUGAUGUGAAAUCUAUGGGCUCAACUCAUAGUCUGCAUCGGAAACUGCCGGGCUUGAGUGUGGGAGAGGUGAGUGGAAUUCCUGGUGUAGCGGUGAAAUGCGCAGAUAUCGGGAAGAACACCCGUGGCUAAGGCGGCUCUCUAGUACGGUACUGACGCUGAGACGCGAAAGCGUGGGGAGCGAACAGG
rnacentral:rRNA from 1 species